UCUAUGCCAUAAUCUUCUUCUAGAUUGCUUAGAAGAUAAAUUCUAAUGACUAGUCAUCCUUCACAGAGUUUUUCACAUUUAAAAAAAUUAAAUGCAAAAAAAAUGGCUGGACUCUUGUGUACUCGUUGCUACUCAUUUUUUCUAUGCUCCUCUCAAAUACCAGAGUUUUUCGCUUUUAAAAAAAAUAAAGGAUAAGAAAAAAGAGAGUUACACAGGAAAAAAAUAAACAUUCCGCAUUCGCGAUUCUUUUCAGCAAGAGUACUAGUGACAGUUAAUCAGGAAAUUGGAAGAGCUAUAAGUAAAUUUUAAUAGGAUUUGUCGUUCUGGGAAAAAUUAAUCAUUCUCGGACCGGAUCGCCGGAGGCUUGGAAGAGGGCGGGCAGAGAGAGAAGAGAGAGAGUACCUGGCUGGUAUCCGAGAGGAGAAGGAGGACACGGAGGCUAUGCUGGCAGGAGCCCUCUUCCACCGUCUCCAGCGUCGUCGGUGGCUGAGGAGGAGGGGCGGAGAACCACGGAGGAAGAGGACUCGAAGAGGGGAUGGCAGAGCAAUCGAGGGAGACUAGGGAUUUCUAGGGUCCGGUUCGCUGGGUUUCCCGCCCGACCGCCCGGUCCAGUCCAUUUCUG
rnacentral:lncRNA from 1 species